ensembl:lncRNA
CUCCUGUGUCACUGCCUCUCCACCCUAAUAUGGACACCCCGGCUCUUUAUUUGGGGGUUUCCAUGGCGUUGGGGUGACGUGGGAGCACAUGCCACGUAUCGAGGUUCUCACCUUACUGGGCGGUUGCAUGAAGGCAGAUAGCCCCUGAGUCAGACUGGGCUGCGGAGCCUCGAGUGGGUGUGUGGCAAUAAGUGAUUUCUGUAGGCAUGCUAAAUCUAUUCCCCUGACACCUCAGGCACUUAGCCUAAAUAUAAACUAACAGAGCAGCUACCCCCUGCUGCAGGCCAACGCUGGCAUGUGAAGACUCCAAGAAACGAAUCACAAGACCCUGAACUCUCCCCGACACACCCUCUGUGGAUCUGCCAAGUCCAGGGACAGAGCUGGCUGGACUUUUCUCACAGUAAUGUACAGUAUGAGUAAACUUUUAUGACCAAAACCUUUAUCCAACACUGAGCUAUUGAACUGAGUAUUGCUAUUGUUGUCACUGGCCCCUUACAGCAGAAAUUGUCCAUUUAAUGGUUUAAAAAUGAUUCUGUGUCAUCAGCUGGAGUAAUUAAAACCCCUUAUUGUAACCAUAUAAUUAAUUUUGGUGCUUGAUAUUAAAAUAUCAAUAAAAGUGAAAAUGCAUUGCUCAGUGUCUCCCCUUGUUUCUGUCGGCUGAGGCCGGGGAUUGUGCUAUGUGGGUGAUUCUAAAGGACUUUGAAGAAGUGCAGACAUGGGAGACACUGUGUCUUGUUAAGUGC